UAAUAUGUUCUACAUCAAUAUCCUAAUUUUGUCUGAUUCAACAAAACACUCAAUAUUCCUGAUUCUAAACUUACUGUUUUUAGUCUCAUCCAUCAAAAAUCCUAAAAUGGUCUUAAUCCAAACAUUUCAUGCUCUGCAUCAACUCUUCCCAUAAGGAUUGGAACAGACUCUGCAUUCGUGUCUCCUACUAUUUCAUUCAAUUAAAGCUUGGCUCUCAAUUUUCAUGCCACAGAGCCAUGUAGACAUUAAUGACCAUUGUUUAAUCAACAGCUGAGGGAACUCCAAUAUGGAAGUGCUGAUGUAAUUGAUUCUCAAUUCUGAAUCUCAAUCAUCUACAUACAUUCACUUCCUGAUAAUGCUGAGUACACAACUCAACUACGUUUUCCACCCAUUUUCUCUUUGUCUCCUUUCUGAAGAUUCUGUGGGAUACUAGUAUGCGGUUCAGCAAGUGCCAACCAUCCCUGGGUACUAAGGUUCAAUGGUGCUACCUGAUUGUGAGUGUCAGUGAGUUAUUAUAUUAUCACUGGGCUCCAACCUGUUCUCACAGGACAUUCAGUCAUACCACUGCUGUCCACCAACCACAGACUGUUCGCCCUCUCCGUGUAACCUUCCUACCAGACCAGAAAAUAUUAAGACCAAUUGUGACACAUCUCCUUCCUCCUCAACUGAGAUCAAUUAACUCCACACAGACCAGGGCCCAAACCGAGAAGCAAAAUGAUGUUCAGGUGGCGACAUUCAAUGCUGAUGGUGGAUCUUGCAAAUGUAUUGUCAGGAGAGUUGAACUUGGACAUCUUGCAAGACUAUGGGAGGAGAGUGCUGAUUGACAAGCAAGUGGACUCUGACUGGGCAUGGGCAUCACUGGCUUGGACAGGACAUUCUCCACCUAUCACCGGCCCGGAGAAGGUGACGUGAGCCACCUGCUUGAACAGAUGCGUAAUUCAUAAAAUCACAGAAUAACAAAAGUGUUUUGCUGCAGAAAAAGGCCAUUGCAUCUGCUUCGGCUCUUGACCUCCUCUUGUACUUAAGUAUCUGUACCCAGGUACCAUGGUACCCAAGAUGGCGCCAUAGGUGGUGACUUGUAAACUUUCAAUGUAAUCAUGUGGGCACAUGUGACA